UACGUAGGCAGCAAGCGUUUGUUCGGAAUUACUGGGCGUAAAGAGUGUGUAGGCGGUGUUCUAAGUUUGUCGUGAAAUCUCCCGGCUUAACUGGGAGGGUGCGGCGAAAAACUGGGAAUGCUAGAGGAUGGGAGAGGUAAGCGGAAUUCCUGGUGUAGCGGUGAAAUGCGUAGAUAUCAGGAGGAACACCGGUGGCGAAGGCGGAUCUCUGGGCCGUAACUGACGCUGAGGAGCGAAAGCAUGGGGAGCGAACAGG
rnacentral:rRNA from 1 species